rnacentral:rRNA from 1 species
GAUCAUUACCAAACGAUUCUUUGGAUUCAAUUAGUAGCUUUUUGAUGCGGUGCAAGCCAAAUCGAGAAGUAGUUGGUUGACCGUAAUUAGGAGAAAUCCUUCCAGCUGCACUGAUUGGAUUCAAAGUUCAAUCAACCCCCUGUGAACUAUAAACCCGUACUGUUAUUGUCUUUUGGGUGGUACUGAAGCUGUUUACAGUCGAUGUGCUGCCCAGAAGCGAUAGCGCUUUAUUGAACUACUAAACGAAUUAUAUCUAUACGCAAAAUCUCUUUAUUAUUUAAUAAUAAUAAUUGACAACUUUUAACAGUGGAUCUCUAGGCUCGUGGAUCGAUGAAGAGCGCAGCAAAAUGCGAUACGUAAUGUGAAUUGCAGAAUUCAGUGAAUCAUCGAAUCCUUGAACGCAAAUUGCGGUGUUGGGUAUUCCCGGCACCAUGCUUGGUUGAGUGUCACUUAAUCUAACAAAAUUCAAUUUAUUUUGGGUAUUGUUACAGAUGAGGUUACGAGGCGUCUAUUUAAUAGAACUUCGAACCUUUAAUGACUAGCAAGACGCAUGACUUUUGAAGUUCAUUGCAGCUACUUGUGUGGCAAUAUUGUUUCGACAAUUUAAAGCGCAUGUUGGCUCAGUGGAUGUUAAUUCUUUAAUCAUUGCUGUUCUUACAAAUCUGACUCUAUAUGUCUUCGGACUUAGAAUUUUGACCUCAGCUCAAGCAAGACUACCCG